UACGGAGGGGGACUAGCGUUGUUCGGAAUUACUGGGCGUAAAGCGCACGUAGGCGGAUUUGUAAGUCAGGGGGUGAAAUCCCCGGGGCUCAACCUCGGAACUGCCUUUGAUACUGCAAAUCUCGAGUCCGGAAGAGGUGAGUGGAAUUCCUAGUGUAGAGGUGAAAAUUCGUAGAUAUUAGGAAGAACACCAGUGGCGAAGGCGGCUCACUGGUCCGGUACUGACGCUGAGGUGCGAAAGCGUGGGGAGCAAACAGG
rnacentral:rRNA from 1 species